rnacentral:rRNA from 1 species
CACGUAGGGGGCGAGCGUUGUCCGGAUUUAUUGGGCGUAAAGAGCUCGUAGGCGGUUCGGUAAGUCGGGUGUGAAACCUCCAGGCUCAACCUGGAGACGCCACCCGAUACUGCUGUGACUAGAGUCCGGGUAGGGGAGCGUGGAAUUCCUGGUGUAGCGGUGAAAUGCGUAGAUAUCGGGAGGAACAUCAGUGGCGAAGGCGGCUACCUGGCCCAAUACUGACACUCAGGUGCGACGAGCGUGG